rnacentral:rRNA from 1 species
GAAUCUUCCGCAAUGGACGAAAGUCUGACGGAGCAACGCCGCGUGAGUGAAGAAGGCCUUCGGGUCGUAAAACUCUGUUGUUAGGGAAGAACAAGUGUCGGAGUAACUGCCGGCACCUUGACGGUACCUAGCCAGAAAGCCACGGCUCACUACGUGCCAGCAGCCGCGGUCAUACGUAGGUGGCAAGCGUUGUCCGGAAUUAUUGGGCGUAAAGCGCGCGCAGGCGGUUUCUUAAGUCUGAUGUGAAAGCCCCCGGCUCAACCGGGGAAGGUCUUUGGAAACUGAUAGGCUUGAGUACAGAAGAGGAAAGCGGAAUUCCACGUGUAGCGGUGAAAUGCGUAGAGAUGUGGAGGAACACCAGUGGCGAAGGCGGCUUUCUGGUCUGUAACUGACGCUGAGGCGCGAAAGCGUGGGGAGCAAACA